AUACGGAGGAUGCGAGCGUUAUCCGGAUUUAUUGGGUUUAAAGGGUGCGUAGGUGGUAGAUUAAGUCAGCGGUGAAAGUUUGCCGCUCAACGAUAAAAUUGCCGUUGAUACUGGUUUACUUGAGUAUAGUUGAAGUAGGCGGAAUGCGUGGUGUAGCGGUGAAAUGCAUAGAUAUCACGCAGAACUCCGAUUGCGAAGGCAGCUUACUAAGUUAUAACUGACACUGAAGCACGAAAGCGUGGGUAUCAAACAGGAUUAGAUACCCUGGUGGUCCACGCAGUAAACGAUGAUUACUAGCUGUUUGCGAUAUACAGUAAGUGGCACAACGAAAGCGUUAAGUAAUCCACCUGGGGAGUACGCCGGCAACGGUGAAACUCAAAUGAAUUGGCGGGG
rnacentral:rRNA from 1 species